GGAACUGAAACAUCUAAGUACCCCGAGGAAAAGAAAUCAACCGAGAUUCCCCCAGUAGCGGCGAGCGAACGGGGAGCAGCCCAGAGCCUGAAUCAGUAUGUGUGUUAGUGGAAGCGUCUGGAAAGGCGCGCGAUACAGGGUGACAGCCCCGUACACAAAAAUGCACAUGCUGUGAGCUCGAUGAGUAGGGCGGGACACGUGGUAUCCUGUCUGAAUAUGGGGGGACCAUCCUCCAAGGCUAAAUACUCCUGACUGACCGAUAGUGAACCAGUACCGUGAGGGAAAGGCGAAAAGAACCCCGGCGAGGGGAGUGAAAAAGAACCUGAAACCGUGUACGUACAAGCAGUGGGAGCACGCUUAGGCGUGUGACUGCGUACCUUUUGUAUAAUGGGUCAGCGACUUAUAUUCUGUAGCAAGGUUAACCGAAUAGGGGAGCCGAAGGGAAACCGAGUCUUAACUGGGCGUUAAGUUGCAGGGUAUAGACCCGAAACCCGGUGAUCUAGCCAUGGGCAGGUUGAAGGUUGGGUAACACUAACUGGAGGACCGAACCGACUAAUGUUGAAAAAUUAGCGGAUGACUUGUGGCUGGGGGUGAAAGGCCAAUCAAACCGGGAGAUAGCUGGUUCUCCCCGAAAGCUAUUUAGGUAGCGCCUCGUGAAUUCAUCUCCGGGGGUAGAGCACUGUUUCGGCAAGGGGGUCAUCCCGACUUACCAACCCGAUGCAAACUGCGAAUACCGGAGAAUGUUAUCACGGGAGACACACGGCGGGUGCUAACGUCCGUCGUGAAGAGGGAAACAACCCAGACCGCCAGCUAAGGUCCCAAAGUCAUGGUUAAGUGGGAAACGAUGUGGGAAGGCCCAGACAGCCAGGAUGUUGGCUUAGAAGCAGCCAUCAUUUAAAGAAAGCGUAAUAGCUCACUGGUCGAGUCGGCCUGCGCGGAAGAUGUAACGGGGCUAAACCAUGCACCGAAGCUGCGGCAGCGACGCUGAUGCGUUGUUGGGUAGGGGAGCGUUCUGUAAGCCUGCGAAGGUGUGCUGUGAGGCAUGCUGGAGGUAUCAGAAGUGCGAAUGCUGACAUAAGUAACGAUAAAGCGGGUGAAAAGCCCGCUCGCCGGAAGACCAAGGGUUCCUGUCCAACGUUAAUCGGGGCAGGGUGAGUCGACCCCUAAGGCGAGGCCGAAAGGCGUAGUCGAUGGGAAACAGGUUAAUAUUCCUGUACUUGGUGUUACUGCGAAGGGGGGACGGAGAAGGCUAUGUUGGCCGGGCGACGGUUGUCCCGGUUUAAGCGUGUAGGCUGGUUUUCCAGGCAAAUCCGGAAAAUCAAGGCUGAGGCGUGAUGACGAGGCACU
rnacentral:rRNA from 1 species